ACCUACUGUUUAAUUUUGAGGGUUCGUUUUUACGAAUACUCAAAAUUAGCACUUUUAGCAACAGAAUAAACUGAACGCAUGUGAAGUUUGUUUGUUGGCGCUGUGCAUUAGCACUUUAAGCAACGGGAUUUAUCCGUUGGCGCUGUGCUUUAGCACUUUGAAAACUGCAUAUAUAUUUAGUGAUAUGACAUCUAAUUUGUAAUAUAUAAAGCUGAUAACUUUUUAAAAUUAUCGAAGUUGAUAGCUUCUAAUCUAUCAAACCUUUUUAACUGGUCAA
rnacentral:misc_RNA from 1 species